rnacentral:rRNA from 1 species
AACGUAGGACGCAAGCGUUAUCCGGAGUUACUGGGCGUAAAGCGCGGGCAGGCGGUUCGUUAAGUCUGAUGUGAAAUCACUAGGCUCAACCUAGCGAGGUCAUUGGAAACUAGCGAACUGGAGGGCGAUAGAGGUAGGCGGAAUUCCGGGUGGAGUGGUGAAAUGCGUAGAGAUCCGGAGGAACACCAGAGGCGAAGGCGGCCUACUGGG